rnacentral:tRNA from 1 species
GGGCCUGUAGCUCAGUCGGUAGAGCACCGCGCUUACACCGCGGCGGUCGUCGGUUCGAACCCGGCCGGGCCCACCC